rnacentral:rRNA from 1 species
UUGCAAGUCGAGCGAACAGAAAAGGAGCUUGCUCCUUUGACGUUUGCGGCGGACGGGUGAGUAACACGUGGGCAACCUACCCUAUAGUUUGGGAUAACUCCGGGAAACCGGGGCUAAUACCGAAUAAUCUCUUUUGCUUCAUGGNGAAAGACUGAAAGACGGUUUCGGCUGUCGCUAUAGGAUGGGCCCGCGGCGCAUUAGGUAGUUGGUGAGGUAACGGCUCACCAAGGCGACGAUGCGUAGCCGACCUGAGAGGGUGAUCGGNCCCCCUGGGACUGAGACACGGCCCAGACUCCUACGGGAGGCAGCNGUACGGAAUCUUCCCCAAUGGGCGAAAGCCUGAUGGAGCAACGCCGCGNGAGUGAAGAAGGUUUUCGGAUCCUGACACUCUGUUUUAAGGGAACAACAAGUACACUAGCAACUGGUUGUACCUUGACGGUACCUUAUUAAAAAGCCAAGUCUAAUUAUUUGCCUC